AUUGAACGCUGGCGGCAUGCUCUACACAUGCAAGUCGAACGGUAACAGGUUAAGCUGACGAGUGGCGAACGGGUGAGUAAUGCAUCGGAACGUGCCCGAUCGUGGGGGAUAACACUUCGAAAGAAGUGCUAAUACCGCAUACGAUCUGAGGAUGAAAGCGGGGGACCGUAAGGCCUCGCGCGAUCGGAGCGGCCGAUGUCAGAUUAGGUAGUUGGUGGGGUAAAGGCCCACAAAGCCGACGAUCUGUAGCUGGUCUGAGAGGACGACCAGCCACACUGGGACUGAGACACGGCCCAGACUCCUACGGGAGGCAGCAGUGGGGAAUUUUGGACAAUGGGCGCAAGCCUGAUCCAGCAAUGCCGCGUGCAGGAAGAAGGCCUUCGGGUUGUAAACUGCUUUUGUACGGAGCGAAAAGGCUCUCUCUAAUACAGGGGGCUCAUGACGGUACCGUAAGAAUAAGCACCGGCUAACUACGUGCCAGCCGCCGCCGUAA
rnacentral:rRNA from 1 species